rnacentral:rRNA from 1 species
GAUGAACGCUGGCGGCGUGCCUAAUACAUGCAAGUCGAGCGAACAGACGAGGAGCUUGCUCCUCUGACGUUAGCGGCGGACGGGUGAGUAACACGUGGAUAACCUACCUAUAAGACUGGGAUAACUUCGGGAAACCGGAGCUAAUACCGGAUAAUAUAUUGAACCGCAUGGUUCAAUAUUGAAAGACGGUUUUGCUGUCACUUAUAGAUGGAUCCGCGCCGCAUUAGCUAGUUGGUAAGGUAACGGCUUACCAAGGCAACGAUGCGUAGCCGACCUGAGAGGUGGAUCGGCAACACGGGAACGGAGACACGGUCAAGACUCCUACGGGAGGAAGCAGUAGGGAAUCUUCCGCAAUGGGCGAAAGCCUGACGGAGCAACGCCGCGUGAGUGAUGAAGGUCUUCGGAUCGUAAAACUCUGUUAUUAGGGAAGAACAAAUGUGUAAGUAACUAUGCACGUCUUGACGGUACCUAAUCAGAAAGCCACGGCUAACUACGUG